UCACUUCAUUAAGAGGUGUGUAUCCAAGUUCAUUCCCGUGGAAAAGGGGUUUUCUGCUGGACUAAUGACAGUCCUCU
rnacentral:misc_RNA from 1 species